UGCCUAGGAAUCUGCCUGGUAGUGGGGGAUAACGUCCGGAAACGGACGCUAAUACCGCAUACGUCCUACGGGAGAAAGCAGGGGACCUUCGGGCCUUGCGCUAUCAGAUGAGCCUAGGUCGGAUUAGCUAGUUGGUGGGGUAAUGGCUCACCAAGGCGACGAUCCGUAACUGGUCUGAGAGGAUGAUCAGUCACACUGGAACUGAGACACGGUCCAGACUCCUACGGGAGGCAGCAGUGGGGAAUAUUGGACAAUGGGCGAAAGCCUGAUCCAGCCAUGCCGCGUGUGUGAAGAAGGUCUUCGGAUUGUAAAGCACUUUAAGUUGGGAGGAAGGGCAGUAAAUUAAUACUUUGCUGUUUUGACGUUACCGACAGAAUAAGCACCGGCUAACUCUGUGCCAGCAGCCGCGGUAAUACAGAGGGUGCAAGCGUUAAUCGGAAUUACUGGGCGUAAAGCGCGCGUAGGUGGUUCGUUAAGUUGGAUGUGAAAUCCCCGGGCUCAACCUGGGAACUGCAUUCAAAACUGACGAGCUAGAGUAUGGUAGAGGGUGGUGGAAUUUCCUGUGUAGCGGUGAAAUGCGUAGAUAUAGGAAGGAACACCAGUGGCGAA
rnacentral:rRNA from 1 species